UGUAUACUCCCUCCGUCUCGAUUUACUUGUCGCGGAAAUGGAUCUAUCUAGAUGUAUUUUAGUUCUAGAUGCAUCCAUUUCUAUCCAUUUCUGUGACGAGUAAUUCCGGACGGAGGGAGUAUGAU
rfam:Triticum aestivum genome assembly, contig: Triticum_aestivum_CS42_TGACv1_scaffold_220626_3B